rnacentral:rRNA from 1 species
CUGGCUCAGGAUGAACGCUGGCGGUAUGCCUAACACAUGCAAGUCGAACGGUGUCUUCGGACAUAGUGGCGGACGGGUGAGUAACGCGUGAGAAUCUACCUCUAGGUUGGGGACAACAGUUGGAAACGACUGCUAAUACCCAAUGUGCCGUAAGGUGAAAGAUUUAUUGCCUGGAGAAGAGCUCGCGUCUGAUUAGCUAGUUGGCGGGGUAAAAGCCCACCAAGGCAUCGAUCAGUAGCUGGUCUGAGAGGAUGAGCAGCCACACUGGGACUGAGACACGGCCCAGACUCCUACGGGAGGCAGCAGUGGGGAAUUUUCCGCAAUGGGCGAAAGCCUGACGGAGCAAUACCGCGUGAGGGAGGAAGGCUCUUGGGUUGUAAACCUCUUUUCUUAGGGAAGAACAAAUGACGGUACCUAAGGAAUAAGCAUCGGCUAACUCCGUGCCAGCAGCCGCGGUAAUACGGAGGAUGCAAGCGUUAUCCGGAAUUAUUGGGCGUAAAGCGUCCGCAGGUGGUUUUUCAAGUCUGCUGUCAAAGACUGGAGCUUAACUCCGGAAAGGCAGUGGAAACUGGGAGACUAGAGUCCGGUAGGGGUAGCGGGAAUUCCCAGUGUAGCGGUGAAAUGCGUAGAUAUUGGGAAGAACAUCGGUGGCGAAGGCGCGCUACUGGACCGGAACUGACACUCAGGGACGAAAGCUAGGGGAGCGAAAGGGAUUAGAUACCCCUGUAGUCCUAGCUGUAAACGAUGGAAACUAGGUGUGGCUUGUAUCGACCCGAGCCGUGCCGUAGCUAACGCGUUAAGUUUCCCGCCUGGGGAGUACGCACGCAAGUGUGAA